GAGGGCUAAUACCGGAUAGCCUUUGACCCUGGCAUCAGGGACAAAGGGAAGGUGGCCUCUGAAAAUGCUACCGCUGAUGGAUGGAUCCGCGUCUGAUUAGCUAGUUGGUGGGGUAAAGGCCUACCAAGGCGACGAUCAGUAGCCGGCCUGAGAGGGUGAACGGCCACACUGGGACUGAGACACGGCCCAGACUCCUACGGGAGGCAGCAGUGGGGAAUCUUCCGCAAUGGACGAAAGUCUGACGGAGCAACGCCGCGUGUACGAUGAAGGCCUUCGGGUUGUAAAGUACUGUCUUCAGGGACGAAUGGUAGAUGUGUAAAUAAUGCGUUUACAUGACGGUACCUGAGGAGGAAGCCCCGGCUAACUACGUGCCAGCAGCCGCGGUAAUACGUAGGGGGCAAGCGUUGUCCGGAAUCAUUGGGCGUAAAGGGCGCGUAGGCGGAUAUUUAAGUCUGGUGUGAAAACCUAGGGCUCAACCCUGGGACUGCAUCGGAAACUGG
rnacentral:rRNA from 1 species